rnacentral:rRNA from 1 species
AACGAACGCUGGCGGCAUGCCUAACACAUGCAAGUCGAACGAGACCUUCGGGUCUAGUGGCGCACGGGUGCGUAACGCGUGGGAACCUGCCCUUAGGUUCGGAAUAACUCCCCGAAAGGGGUGCUAAUACCGGAUAAUGUCUUCGGACCAAAGAUUUAUCGCCUUUGGAUGGGCCCGCGUUGGAUUAGCUAGUUGGUAGGGUAAAAGCCUACCAAGGCGACGAUCCAUAGCUGGUCUGAGAGGAUGCUCAGCCACACUGGGACUGAGACACGGCCCAGACUCCUACGGGAAGCAGCAGUGGGGAAUAUUGGACAAUGGGGGAAAGCCUGAUCAAGCAGUGCCGCGGGAGUGAUGAAGGCCUUAGGGUUGUAAAGCUCUUUUACCCGGGAUGAUAAUGACGGUACCGGGAGAAUAAGCUCCGGCUAACUCCGUG